GGCUGUUCCCAAGGUAGUGAGUUGUCCCACCUGAUUGUUCACAGUCAGUUACAGAUGGAUCUCCUUGUUCUACUCUUUCCCCCUUCUCACCAUGGCACUUGACUAGUCUUAA
rnacentral:Y_RNA from 1 species